GUCUCUGUAGCUUACAAUAAAGCAUUGCACUGAAGAUGCUAAGACGGUCCUCCAUCCACCCAGAGACA
rnacentral:tRNA from 1 species